AUGUCACCUGUUUGGUUCCUUUUCCUCGUUUGCAGCUCUGUAUCAUUUAUAUUUGUAAGUGCUUACUGCUUGUGAUUUUAGAUGGAGAGUCCUACCUCAUAGAUGAUUAUUGUAAAGAUUAUAUUUUAUGAGAAGAGAUAGAUUUUUCAUAGGCUAGUACAAUUAUACUUUUCAAAUUAAUGCUCUUAUUUACUUUACAAUUGCAUUGUGAAUCUGCAGGGUGAAACAUCUGGGUGGGUGACAGUGAAAUUCCACCACAUUUCUCCAUCAGAUGAUGAUUGGGUUGGAGUUUUCUCUCCAGCAAAAUUCAAUGGUUCUGUCUGCUUAAAUGAUACUGCUCCUGAGAAAGAUAAAGCCCCAUUUCUAUGUACUGCACCUAUAAAGUUCCAGUAUGCAAAUUUUUCAUCACACAACUAUGCUCGCACGGGAAAUGGAUCUUUGAAGCUUCUGUUGAUCAAUCAACGAGCCGACUUUGCCUUUGCAUUAUUCGCAGGGGGGGUUUCUAAUCCAGUGUUGUUGGCAAUCUCAAAUACUGUCAGCUUUUUGUAUCCAAAAUCUCCAGUUUAUCCACGCCUUGCACAAGGAAAAUCCUGGAAUGAAAUGACAGUUACAUGGACCAGUGGUUAUGGGAUUAAGGAAGCAGUGCCUGUUGUUCAGUGGGGUCCUGAGGGAGAAGAGUCAACGUUUUUGUCUCCAGCUGGGACAUUGACAUUUAAUCAGAAGAGCAUGUGUGGUCCUCCUGCUCGCACUGUUGGCUGGCGGGACCCUGGUUAUAUACACACUAGCUUUCUAAAAGAUUUAUGGCCAACCACCAAAUAUAACUACAAAGUUGGUCAUAGGCUAUUCAAUGGCUCAUAUGUUUGGGGGCAGUUGAAUUCAUUUAUGUCAUCUCCAUACCCUGGGCAAGAUUCUGUACAGCAUGUAAUUGUUUUUGGUGACAUGGGAAAGGCAGAAUUUGAUGGGUCUAAUGAGUAUAAUAACUACCAGCCUGGGUCGCUUAACACUACUAAUCGAUUAAUUGAGGACUUGGGGAACAUUGACAUAGUAUUUCAUAUUGGGGACUUGGUUUAUGCAAAUGGAUACCUUUCUCAGUGGGAUCAAUUUACAUCUCAAAUAGAACCCAUUGCUUCAAAGGUUCCUUACAUGGUAGCCAGUGGGAAUCAUGAACAGGAUUGGCCAAAUACAAGUUCCUUCUAUAAGAAUCUAGAUUCCGGUGGAGAAUGUGGCGUACUAGCUGAGACUAUGUUUUAUGUACCAGCAAAAAAUAGGGAAAAAUUUUGGUAUUCUGCAGACUAUGGCAUGUUUCAUUUCUGCAUUGCAAAUUCGGAGUUGGAUUGGCGAGAGGGAACGGAACAAUAUAAGUUUAUUGAGGAAUGCCUUGCAUCUGCUGAUAGACAGAAACAACCGUGGCUUAUCUUCAUUGCACACCGUGUUUUGGGCUACUCCUCUGGAUCUUCAUAUGCGGAGGAAGGAUCAUUUGAUGAACCUAUGGGAAGAGAGAGUCUCCAAUUGUUAUGGCAAAAGUAUAAGGUGGACCUUGCCUUUUAUGGCCAUGUUCAUAACUAUGAGCGAACAUGCCCCAUUUAUCAAAACAAUUGCGUGAGUGAUGAAAGGUCUCACUAUACAGGUACUUAUAAUGCAACUAUCCAUGUAGUAGCUGGUGGUGGUGGAGCACACUUGGCUGACUUUACCACUUUACAGACCAGUUGGAGCUUUUACAAAGAUUAUGAUUUUGGAUUUGUGAAGCUCACAGCUUUCAAUCAUUCAUCUUUGCUAUUUGAGUACAAGAAAAGCUCAGAUGGGAAAGUUUAUGAUCAAUUUUGGAUUACGAGAGAAUACAGGGACAUUCUUGGUUGUGAUACCAUAGGCAACUGUCCAGCUACAACCCUGGCUUCAUGAUUCAAUUCUUUAUUGACUUUGUUGAGCAGCAUUUGUUCCACACUCGAUAUUCAAAGGAUGUAACAUUUUGGUUCAGUUGCGAUCUAUCUUUUAAGUAUUUAUUAAAUUUAUUUACAUUUAAAAAAUAAACUUCGAUCUUCUAAUAUUUUCAUCGGACAAUGUUAUUGUAAUUGGUUAACUAGUUAUUAGUUUCUGUCAACAUGGAGGAAUACUAAUACACACAUUGGAUUUUUUUAAUACAAAGAAUCAUGAAUUAAAAUAGGCUGAUUAAUUUUACUAAUGUAUAUAUUUUUUCAAUUUUAUUUCAAAACAUACAAAUAGUUUUAUCUAUA